AACGUAGGGGGCGAGCGUUAUCCGGAAUCACUGGGCGUAAAGGGCGUCUAGGCGGUCCAGUAAGUCCUGCGUGAAAGCUCCCGGCUCAACUGGGAGAGCGCGUGGGAGACUGUUGGGCUAGAGACUCGGAGAGGGGUGUGGAAUUCCCGGUGGAGUGGUGAAAUGCGUUGAGAUCGGGAGGAACACCAGUGGCGAAGGCGGCACCCUGGCCGAGUUCUGACGCUGAAGCGCGACAGCGUGGGGAGCAAACAGG
rnacentral:rRNA from 1 species